rnacentral:lncRNA from 1 species
CUCCAAAUAUAAUUUUAAAGUUUUUAUUAAUUAGUAGACACUGUAACUUUGUACUGGCGGUUAAAAUACAGAUAGAAAUAUUUGAAACAUAAAAAUAAAAAUAUAGUAGAAUUCAAAAACGAUUUUUCUAAAGAAUCGUAUAUAAUGCGGAAUGUAAAAACAUAAACAAAUGUUUUAAAAAAAUAGAGUCAGGUGAGAAAUAUCACACGUGCCAAAAGGUAAAGGUACUAUGAACGAUUGGCGUGAUCCUGACUCGGAAAAAUAUUUGAAAAACGCCUUUAUAGAUCUACGGUGGUUAGGAAGAAGAUCUGUCUUGAUGCGGCAGUGUUGCCACAACUCGACAGUAUUGACAUUUCCGGUCUUUGAGCGACAAGUUGUCGUCAGAAUGUCAUAUUCAGAAGCGGCGAACGAUUUAAAUACUUGUAUAUGCUAUUUACGUCUACGUCUCUCACUCUCUUUUCGUGUAUACAACUUCAAUAACUUCUAAGCACAAUAAAAAAUAGUAGUAAUAAUAACAACAAUAAUAAUAAUAAUAAAAAGUCGAUUUCUGAGCGAGAAAAAUAAAAUUCCGUCAAGACGAGUCACGAUUAAAAUCUCGAUUUCGCGUAGAAUCCCGAAUUAUUUUUCCUUCUCACAAACAAAAAUAAACAUUUGCCUCUAACCAACCUAUUUAUUUGUCAUUUGGAAUAGAUUAGAAAGAAUUCAUGCUUCUCGGAGUUAAUAAUUUACUAGAUUACAUCAUUAAAAUAACCUAUAAAAAAUAUAUAUAUUUAACAGAAAAAAAUACAAUAGUGA